rnacentral:rRNA from 1 species
GACGAACGCUGGCGGCGUGCUUAACACAUGCAAGUCGAACGGAAAGGCCCUGCUUUUGUGGGGUGCUCGAGUGGCGAACGGGUGAGUAACACGUGAGUAACCUGCCCUUGUCUUUGGGAUAACUUCAGGAAACUGGGGCUAAUACCGGAUAGGAGCUCCUGCUGCAUGGUGGGGGUUGGAAAGUUUCGGCGGUUGGGGAUGGACUCGCGGCUUAUCAGCUUGUUGGUGGGGUAGUGGCUUACCAAGGCUUUGACGGGUAGCCGGCCUGAGAGGGUGACCGGCCACAUUGGGACUGAGAUACGGCCCAGACUCCUACGGGAGGCAGCAGUGGGGAAUAUUGCGCAAUGGGCGGAAGCCUGAUGCAGCAACGCCGCGUGCGGGAUGACGGCCUUCGGGUUGAAAACCGCUUUCGCCUGUGACGAAGCGUGAGUGACGGUAAUGGGUAAAGAAGCACCGGCUAACUACGUG